AAGGAGUUAUAAUGACACCAUCACAUCCCAGACUGAAAAUUAAGUUCAACCCUAUCAAUUCCACAAGAGCAGCUCAUCUUUUUGCACUUGCAGGUUCACUUGUUCUUAAUUAAAUGUGAUCCAAGAUCCAGCUGGAAUGACUGACUGCUCGGAAAGCUGAGGGAAGUACAACAGGACAGACUGAGCCUUUACAACACAAGGACAGCAGUGCACGUUCUGCAAUGCACAGGAACUGAAUUGCUGUGAAAAGCAGAGAAUGUGCUGAGGGCUGGGAUGAAAGCAGAGAGCUGGAUCUGCCAGGGACAGCAGGACAUGGAGCAGGGAAGGAGCUGUGCCCCAAGAACUGCCACUGUCACAUCCUGAAGGAAUGAUCAAAGGCCAUCAGCAUGUCCGUGGCAUUUUGAGGACAUUAAUGCCUU